AUUGAACGCUGGCGGCAGGCUUAACACAUGCAAGUCGAGCGGUAACAGAGAGAAGCUUGCUUCUCUGCUGACGAGCGGCGGACGGGUGGGUAAUGCCUAGGAAUCUGCCUAGUAGUGGGGGAUAACUUGCCGAAAGGUAAGCUAAUACCGCAUACGUCCUACGGGAGAAAGGAGGGGACCUUCGGGCCUUUCGCUAUUAGAUGAGCCUAGGUCGGAUUAGUUAGUUGGUGAAGUAAUGGCUCACCAAGACCGCGAUCCGUAACUGGUCUGAGAGGAUGAUCAGUCACACUGGAACUGAGACACGGUCCAGACUCCUACGGGAGGCAGCAGUGGGGAAUAUUGGACAAUGGGGGGAACCCUGAUCCAGCCAUGCCGCGUGUGUGAAGAAGGUCUUAGGAUUGUAAAGCACUUUAAGUUGGGAGGAAGAGCAGUUAACUAAUAUUUGACUGUUUUGACGUUACCGACAGAAUAAGCACCGGCUAACUUCGUGCCAGCAGCCGCAGUAA
rnacentral:rRNA from 1 species